CUACGGGAGGCAGCAGUGGGGAAUUUUGGACAAUGGGGGCAACCCUGAUCCAGCCAUGCCGCGUGUCUGAAGAAGGCCUUCGGGUUGUAAAGGACUUUUGUUAGGGAAGAAAAGCUUGGUGCUAAUACCAUCGAGUGCUGACGGUACCUAAAGAAUGAGCACCGGCUAACUACGUGCCAGCAGCCGCGGUAAUACGUAGGGUGCGAGCGUUAAUCGGAAUUACUGGGCGUAAAGCGAGCGCAGACGGUUAGAUAAGUCAGGUGUGAAAUCCCCGAGCUCAACUUGGGACGUGCAUUUGAAACUGUCAGACUAGAGUGUGUCAGAGGGAGGUAGAAUUCCACGUGUAGCAGUGAAAUGCGUAGAGAUGUGGAGGAAUACCGAUGGCGAAGGCAGCCUCCUGGGAUAACACUGACGUUCAUGCUCGAAAGCGUGGGUAGCAAACAGGAUUAGAUACCCUGGUAGUCCACGCCCUAAACGAUGACAAUUAGCUGUUGGGGCACUAGAUGUCUUAUUAGCGAAGCUACCGCGUGAGGUUGUCCGCCUGGGGAGUACGGUCGCAAGAUUAAAACUCAAAAGGAAUUGACGGGGACCCGCACAAGCGGUGGAUGAUGUGGAUUAAUUCGAUGCAACGCGAAGAACCUUACCUGGUCUUGACAUGUACGGAAUCUCUUAGAGAUAGGAGAGUGCCUUCGGGAACCGUAACACAGGUGCUGCAUGGCUGUCGUCAGCUCGUGUCGUGAGAUGUUGGGUUAAGUCCCGCAACGAGCGCAACCCUUGUCAUUAGUUGCCAUCAUUAAGUUGGGCACUCUAAUGAGACUGCCGGUGAUAUACCGGAGGAAGGUGGGGAUGACGUCAAGUCCUCAUGGCCCUUAUGACCAGGGCUUCACACGUCAUACAAUGGUCGGUACAGAGGGUAGCGAAGCCGCGAGGUGAAGCCAAUCUCAGAAAGCCGAUCGUAGUCCGGAUUGCACUCUGCAACUCGAGUGCGUGAAGUCGGAAUCGCUAGUAAUCGCAGGUCAGCAUACUGCGGUGAAUACGUUCCCGGGCCUUGUACACACCGCC
rnacentral:rRNA from 2 species